rnacentral:lncRNA from 1 species
GCAAUACAGACACAGCGCCAAGUCCUACACUUCGUUUUCCUGCUUACUGCUGGCAAGCAGCCUUGAUGGAUGCAAUUACACUGUUUGUCUGGUUUGUUCUUUUUGAUUACAUCAGGGGAAGACUCUGUUUCAGUAUUACAAAUUAUAUCCACCAACCACUCAGCGUCUGCAAUGUGUGGAUGUGCUUGUUCUCCUGCUAUCCUCUUGGGGUUAAUUGAAUAUCACAUUUCAAAGCCACUUUGAUGGAUUUACCGAAGUGCAAUACAAUAAAACUAUCACAAUGUUUUUCCACGCAAUGAAGCAAAUGCAGUUCAGACUCAGAGAGGAGAAGGGUGAAGGAAAUAGGUUCUGGAUGCAAUCGUGGUGCCUUGGAGGUUGAGCCAUGGAACACAGAUCUUUCUGCUUGGCAGCUGAGCUUCCAUGCUCUACUUCAAAUGAAAGCAAAGAACAGCUUCAAAGACUGCAUCCACAGCAAAGUUUCCCCAGCAUCAAAGGUGUAGACAGGCCCUUACCAAGAUGCACAUCAGUCUUGACAUCCAGACUGCAGUGAGGCUUUCCUGGGAUCUAAUCAGGAUAUGCAUGAAAGAAAGAAAUGAAGCAGAAGUCUUGCCAGGAUUUAGAUGCUGGAUUUGGGGGUUUACAGUUCCUGUAGGAAACUCACGAUGGAAGUAAAUAUUAUAGGAUACCCUUGGUGAUAUCUUUCAGUAUCUAAAGGGGAGCUACAAGAAAUAAGGGGUCUUUAGCAGGGUCUGUGUUGAUAGGACAAAGGAGAACGGUUUCAAACUUAAAGAGGGGAUAUUUAGGUUGGAUAUAAGGAAAAAGUCUUUUACAGUGAGAGUGGUGAGGCACUGGCACAGGUAUCCCAGAGAUGUGGUUGAUUCCCUGUCCCUGGACAGUUUCAAGGCAAGGCUGGAUUGUAGAAUCAUAGAAUCAUAGAAUGGUCUGGGUUGAAAAGGACAACAAUGCUCAUCUAGUUUCAACCCCCUGCUAUGUGCAGGGUCACCAACCACUAGAACCACUGGAUCAGGCCCUGGGCAACAUGAUCAAGCUUUGGUGUCCCUGUGCAUUGCAGGUGAGUUGGACUAGGUGACCUUUAAAAAUCCCUUCCAACUUUAAGGAAUCUAUAAUUCUGUGACUCUAUGAUAUUUCACUGAAUAUAUUUAUUUUAUAUGCUCAAACUAUAUGUCAAGCCUGCUCCCAAGUUCAGGUAUGAGCUCUGAUGAGGUGGUUAAAGGAUGGUCCGUGCUAUAGUAGCUCCUUAUCCAGGCUGUGAACUCCUUGCUUCUGGUUUAAAGAAGAGGUGUGAUGCAGCUGAGAGGAGACUGAGAAGCUGCUAUUAAUAAUUUCUUGGCUGCUGACUCUCUUGCUUUCUUAUCACGUGGGUAUCUGAAUGGAUCCUCAGGAUAAGUAAAGCUGUCUGAAAGACAGUGUAUGCCUUCUCCUUUGCAGUAAUAAUUUGACAGUUUAUAUGAGGGUCCCAUGAUCAUCUCCUUUCAUAUUUUCCGAGACCCAAUAGGGCAAGUUAGCCUGCAACGAUGUGGAGAAGGAUGAGUGAAAUGGAUCGGUGAAUUUCACCCAUACACUCUAUGUAUGUUAGCUCUCAUCUUUAUCUUGAGAAUAGUAGCACAGGAAUAUCUCCAAAAGUGACAAAAAACAUCACCUAGGAUAUGUUGGUUACCAUCACAAGCUGAGAAUGGGAGAAAUGAAGCAGUGAUCUAAGAGGGAAUGGGGGUAAAAGCAUCAAUACGGUGAUGUGCACAGCCUAUGUCCAGGUGGACCACCACCCUUAGCAGUGUUUGCCACAUGGCAACAAAAAGGGCACAGGGCCACAUGUUGACUCUGUUGUAAUCAAUUGCAUGUGCAAUAGGUGGGACAUUAUUUUCUUUUCCAUUACUGCAAGCAUAGCCACAGAUCUGAUAUGCAGGGCGUCAACUCAUUUCCUGUAGUGUUUUUUUAAAGUGGUCCCAUAGAAGACCUGGUCUGGUGGUUGGCAACCCUGCACAUAGCAGGGGGGUUGAAACUAGAUGAGCAUUAUGGUCCUUUUCAACCCAGGCCAUUCUAUUAUUCUAUGAAAACAUGGUAGUCAUGUACCUUACAUACUCAAUAUGAUAUUCAGGGAUACGUGUCCAGCCCAUUAUACCCCAGUGGAUUUAAUUAGAAACAGUGGAAGGGAAAAUAGGGUUUUUUUUUGACUGCAUGAGGAGCAAAAAGCAGCUGACAAUCUUAACUAUACUUGCUCUGCAAGUCUGGUAAGAGCAAAAGCCAGUGGCUCUGAGUGGGUACACAAAUAGGCAUGAAGGUUAAGAGAAUGCCUUUUCCUAUUUACAUUAAGGAACAAAAAUAGCUGCCUCUGAAUCAUCAUUACAAUGCAAUGAUAGCUUCAAAUGCAAGCAAGGGGAUACUGCAUCUCCAGGAUGUUAGAUAUGCAGGAAGAGCAGGCUAUACAGGAAUUCAUGCUUAAUGUGAAGGCAGUGAGAUGGACAUUACCACGGUAUGAGAUCUCCGCAUCUUCCACUUUCCUGAUUCUGGACAGUAAUCAGGAAUAUAUGAUUUUAAAGGAUGUUCAUCAGGUACAUUUGUAAUCAGUGACUAAUUGUAAGUAUCCUCAUAGUUAUGUACAGCAGAAGUAUGAUGUUUCCAGGUAAAGCUUAGUGGCUCUGGGCAGCUUGGUCUGGUGGUUGGCAACCCUGCACAUAACAGGGGGUUGAAACCAGAUGAUCACUGUGGUCCUUUUCAACCCAGGCCAUUCUAUGAUUAUGUGAUUCUGUGAUUCUAUGAUUCUAUGAUUCUAUGAUAUCCACAAGAACAUGAAACAAAAUUGAUUUAAGUGAGGCCAUUAGAGACAACAGAAGUGGGGAAGUUAAAGGCUUUUACUUUGUUUUCCAGUUCUUUUUGGUGCGUUAUUCUUCAACCAUAAAGUAUAAUAGGGAAAUUCCUGCUCUUGGGGAAUUUUUAUAGAGAAAUCUGAAUCUUGAAAGACAAUCCAAGUUUAAAAAAAAAAAAAAAAAAGGAGGAAAAAGAAAAAGAAUUAUAGAGAAACUUGAGAAGUUCAAGUGCAGUAAAUCAAUAGGAGCUGAUGGUCUUCACCCAUGGACAUGGAAGGGAAUGAAGUGUGAAACAGCAGAUCUGAGUUUAUGCAAUCAAGGACCAUUCCAAGAGCCACUACAAUCAGUGGAAAGACUCUCUGAAAACUGGAUCAGGCCUUCCCACAUUAAUUCAGAAAAAACAAUGAGUACCCACAGGAAGGCACCCAUCACCCUUUCAGGUUGGAUGUGGGAAAUGCAGUGGGGUGAGGAGGGCUGCACCGGUAGGACCAGCCAGAUCAGGAGCAACCCAUGCUGUAUGGAAAACUCUCUGUAAUUACAGUGCUCCAUCUUGGCCGGUGCAGUGCAGCUCUGUAGGAUUUGGCCCCAUAGUACUGGAAAUGGCAUGCGACACGACUGACAUGAAGCCAGGUCCUGCCACCCACAUGGCAGGGGGAAUGCUCUCAGGAUCUGGCCCAUCGCAGUGGCACUGCUGUGUUUACAUGGCUGCAGGCUCUUGCUCCGCUCAGCUCACUGGCUUGCUAGAUUCUCUACAUCUGAAAGCUGCUCUUUCUUCCCCAAAAUCACUGCUGGCAAUCAUUUGUCACUGCUAAGGACAACAUCUCCCGCUGCUUGGCGAUAGGGCUUCUGCAUAGAUGAUGCCUUAUGGACAACUUCAAGUUUCCAAAGCAGCAUGAGCGCAGAGCACGGGCCAGGCUUCCCUUUUCAGUCACUGAGAAGCAAACACUCACAGCUGCCAAGGAUUUUACUUUAUUGUCAUUUAAGUUGGCUCUUUCUGCUCCAGUCGCUGGCGGUCUCACAGUAGCAGGAGUUGAGUAAUAAUAGUAUUUCCAGUCCGCUCACCUCCAAGUAGUGCUUUACAGGAGAGACUGCUGGGAGAACAGGAUGAGGAUGGUUUGUAUUGGCUGUUCCUUCCCUCUUUCUCAUCAGACUGUGAUUCAAGCUAACAUCAAGCUACAAACUCCAUCACACAUCCCCCCUGUGGAUUUUCCAUAUUCACUCCUCAGCAAGCGGGACUGCACUGCCAUCCAUCAGUUCUCAGAGGUGCAGAGAGGGUCCUCUCUUCUUGGAAAUUCUUAACCAAAGCCAUCCACUGUCUUUUUCAGCAGUGCCAUGGCUUGACUACACAGAGGCUUGGGACUAUAUUUUAACCUGAGAAGGUUUCUUCAGGAAGUUUGCAGAACCUGGGCUCACCAGACUUGCCCAGCUAAAUACGGGACACUCCCUUUUCCCAAAACUUUCCUCAUAUUCACAGAAACAGAAAACAAAUCAAGGAAAGUACCUGGAAGCAGGCUAAUGUCACAAAGCUCCUAAAUCAGCCCCAAAGUCAUGGAUACACCAUCUGAAACAACCUCUAACUGCAAUUUCAAUGCAGCUUUGGGCCGCAGGAAACUAGUGCUCUUGGCCAUCAGCUUCUUUAAGAAUACAAAGAAAUUAUAACCUCCAUCUUCUUUAAUGUUGGUCUUCAAAUUUCUUAAAUGUUCUUUUUUUUUUUUUUUUUGCUAAGUUAGAGACAAAGUCACACUACUGUGGAGGAGGAGCACCUCUGCUGUGUCUGUUGUUUGAGACAACAAGCCAGAGACUGUCAUAUUUUGCAGAAUCCUUUGCAAGUAGGUCCUCAUUCACGGUACUCACUUGACUUUGCUUUCUUGGCUUCAGGGGAGCACUCUGGUUUCUUCACAGCUGUGAUCAGCCCUAUUAAAAAGAAACACCAGCCUGCUCCAUCUGCAAUUCAACAGAGCAAGAAAGGGAUCGACCAAGUAAAUUCAUUCUCUGUUGAAUGUCUCAUUGAGUGGAGAUGCCCAAGGUCAGGCUGGACGGGGCUCUGAGCACUCGAUGGAGCUGUGAGUGACUCUGUUCAUUGCAGAAGAGUUGGGCCAGAUGGCCGUUUGCGUUCCCUUCCAACUGAAACAGUUCUAUGUUUCUGUGAUUUUCAUGUAGAAACAAAGCCACAGGUAAAGAGGAGCAAGGGUUGGAGAGGACUGCGCUAAGAUAUCGCAAACUGAAGGAAAUAAAGGUUAAUGAUACCAUCCCACCUGGAAGUAAAGGAUGCUUUGAGGUUUGUCUGAGGAUGUCUGAAUGAGACCAUGACUUGGGAGUGGCUGAUUGCAGCCCUUCAGAGCUGUAAUAGUUGCAGUGCAAUCUUUAGAGCUGAUAGCAGCAACUAAUUGCUUCUGUUUUCUGACUUUCCAGAGGGCAGAGUGACUCUGAAUUAAUGCAUGGUGUCUUCUGUCUGAUUUCCUAAACUGUUGUAAAAGUAAAUAUCUUAUAGUAAACAUCACUUCAAUCAAAAUCUGGAUAGUCCUGACUAGACUUGGAAGGUUACAACCCACUACAGAAGACACUGAGAGAAGGAAGGCCUUACCACUUCUUUUCUUUAGUGGUUGUAAAUGAUUUGUGAGAAAAAGGAAUGAAAGAUCGUCCAUUGUGUUGUUAGUUUAAUGGUGAUUUUCUGCCUCAUAAUAAAAGCAUCAACAAGAUUUUACAUCGGUAGACAGUUUUGCAGCUUCCAGAAUUUUUUUGGAUGGAAUUGUUGGGCCUGUGUGAUUAGGGAGAAGUCUCUUGUGAAAUCCAUUGGGAAUUAAGGUAUCUUACCUAUUUUUCACACAAAACCCCAGUGUGAGAUCCAUGAGCUGAGUCUGAGCAGUGCCAGAGCCAAUCCUCCAUCUCACCUCCUGGAGGAAAGCCCUGACCAACAGGUGAU